rnacentral:rRNA from 1 species
GAUGAACGCUGGCGGCGUGCCUAAUACAUGCAAGUCGAGCGAACAGACGAGGAGCUUGCUCCUCUGACGUUAGCGGCGGACGGGUGAGUAACACGUGGAUAACCUACCUAUAAGACUGAGAUAACUUCGGGAAACCUGAGCUAAUACCGGAUAACAUGUUGAACCGCAUGGUUCAACAGUGAAAGACGGUUUUGCUGUCACUUAGAGAUGGAUCCGCGUCGCAUUAGCUAGUUGGUAAGGUAACGGAUUACCAAGGCUACGAUGCGUAGCCGACCUGAGAGGGUGAUCAGCCACACUGGAACUGAGACACGGUCCAGACUCCUACGGGAGGCAGCAGUAGGGAAUCUUCCGCAAUGGGCGAAAGCCUGACCCAGCCACGCCGCGUGAGUGAAGAAGGUCUUCGGAUCGUAAAGCUCUGUUAUUAGGGAAGAACAAAAGUGUAAGUAAACAUGCCCGUCUUGACGGUACCAACACAGAAAGCAACGGCUAACUACGUG